UAAUGAAUGGGUUUGGUUUUGAUCUUGAUGACGGGGAAUAUAUCAGUGUUUUCACAAACUGCUGUUUUCUGUUUGCCAUUCUCAGGUGCAGAAGUCCUUCAUUUAUUGUAACAGCAGAAAUAGCUUCCUCUUGCUUAAGGAGCAGCUCUUACACCAGCCACGCUUCUCCUUAGCUGGGAGAUGAAAGCUCCUAGCCUCCAGCUGGGUGAUUAACAGAAGAGAUGGCCUCACGGAACCCCCUGCUUCCCUCUUCAAAAAGAAGCAAAAGAACUAUUUUUUUCCCUGGAGUGGUUGAUACCACGGAGCAAAUUGGUAACCAUAUUUGAGGGAGCAUGUCUGAUGUUUCACUCAAUAGCCUUAGCUACAGGCGCCUGCACAGGUGGCGGAUUUGGGUUCUCACACACAAUAGUGUGAUCUUCAUCACUGGGGGUAAUGUGUCACACAGUGCUUUUGCAGCUGCACAGAUUGUGUUCCAGCAGUAUGUCAGAGCAGCCCAUACAAUCAUGACAAGCACAGUUCAACUGUGUGCAUUUUGCUUUCAUCUGAUCCCUCCCUGCGUGCUCAGCUCCCGUAACUCCCGCUCAGCAUUCACAAUUCCAUGACUGCCAGCUCGUAUCAAGAACCAAAGCUCCUGGGAAAUGCUGCAGCUUUCCAAGGCAGAAAGAUCACUUUUGAGUUGGAGGCAUUGCCACACGUAUUGCUUCAGCCACACUUGGCAUACUUCCCCAAGCCUACAGAUGCAGCGUUACUCGCGGGGAUCACCAGAAUGCUCUGAAAACCAGCCAGAGGAGUGCUUACUGAAAUGAGCGCCUUGUAAGAGCAAUAAGCUUUGUUUCCGUGUGAAUUUUAUACCAAUACGACACAAAAGGAAAAGCACAAACCACCUGCGCAUCCUGCUGCACGUGGGCAUGCUUUGAAACCAGACUGGAAGUUUGUUGAACACAGUUAGAAAUGUGAAGCAGUUACUCCUCCCAUAUGGUUUAUUGAAGAUCUCAGUUUUCAAAGCAUGAGUAGCAGUGAGGCCCAUUAUUCGUUCCAACAUGCAAAAGGCACAAAAAAGUCAUAAACGUGAUUCUGUGCAAAGUGUCUCUAAGAAAACACACAGCGAGGAAAUGACAGAAAGGAGCCCCCAGCGGAAGAGAAAGCCAAGGCGUCCUCAGAGAAUGCUGACAGUUCUGGAAGUGGUGGUCCUUUUUCAGAGUCCAGAUACGCUCAGGUGGUGAGAGAUGCUCUGCGAAUCCAUGAAAGGAAACUCAAGACGGAGGCAGAAGGCCCAAACAAGGAUCCCCUUCGUGUGCCAAAGCUCGGGGUGGGAGUCAAAGCCGUUCAUCUCAGGAGAAGAACGUGGCAGUUAAAGACAGG
rnacentral:lncRNA from 1 species